rnacentral:rRNA from 1 species
AUACGGAGGGAGCGAGCGUUAAUCGGAAUUACUGGGCGUAAAGCGCGCGUAGGCGGCUUUGUAAGUCGGAUGUGAAAGCCCCGGGCUCAACCCGGGAAUGGCAUUCGAUACUGCAUAACUAGAGUAUGGUAGAGGGAAGUGGAAUUUCCGGUGUAGCGGUGAAAUGCGUAGAUAUCGGAAGGAACACCAGUGGCGAAGGCGACUUCCUGGGCCAAUACUGACGCUGAGGUGCGAAAGCGUGGGGAGCAAACAGGAUUAGAUACCCCGGUAGUCC